UUUGAAGAGCUUGCUCAGAUAUGACGAUGGACAUUGCAAAGAGUGGCGAACGGGUGAGUAACACGUGGGAAACCUACCUCUUAGCAGGGGAUAACAUUUGGAAACAGAUGCUAAUACCGUAUAACAAUAGCAACCGCAUGGUUGCUACUUAAAAGAUGGUUCUGCUAUCACUAAGAGAUGGUCCCGCGGUGCAUUAGUUAGUUGGUGAGGUAAUGGCUCACCAAGACGAUGAUGCAUAGCCGAGUUGAGAGACUGAUCGGCCACAAUGGGACUGAGACACGGCCCAUACUCCUACGGGAGGCAGCAGUAGGGAAUCUUCCACAAUGGGCGAAAGCCUGAUGGAGCAACGCCGCGUGUGUGAUGAAGGGUUUCGGCUCGUAAAACACUGUUGUAAGAGAAGAAUGACAUUGAGAGUAACUGUUCAAUGUGUGACGGUAUCUUACCAGAAAGGAACGGCUAAAUAUGUGCCAGCAGCCGCGGUAAUACGUAUGUUCCAAGCGUUAUCCGGAUUUAUUGGGCGUAAAGCGAGCGCAGACGGUUAUUUAAGUCUGAAGUGAAAGCCCUCAGCUCAACUGAGGAAUUGCUUUGGAAACUGGAUGACUUGAGUGCAGUAGAGGAAAGUGGAACUCCAUGUGUAGCGGUGAAAUGCGUAGAUAUAUGGAAGAACACCAGUGGCGAAGGCGGCUUUCUGG
rnacentral:rRNA from 1 species